rnacentral:rRNA from 1 species
AACGAACGCUGGCGGCAUGCCUAACACAUGCAAGUCGAACGAGACCUUCGGGUCUAGUGGCGCACGGGUGCGUAACGCGUGGGAACCUGCCUUUAGGUUCGGAAUAACUCAGAGAAAUUUGAGCUAAUACCGGAUAAUGUCUUCGGACCAAAGAUUUAUCGCCUUUAGAUGGGCCCGCGUUGGAUUAGCUAGUUGGUGGGUAAAGGCCUACCAAGGCGACGAUCCAUAGCUGGUCUGAGAGGAUGAUCAGCCACACUGGGACUGAGACACGGCCCAGACUCCUACGGGAGGCAGC